UAAUUUUAAAGAAUUAAAUUAGAUUUUAAAUUUAUAUAUUAUAUCAUAAUUUUUAUUAGAAAUCAUGUGUAGAUUUGGAAACAGACUUCAUUAACAGCCUUCUUGCACCAUUGAUUUAAUCAUUAUUAUUAUUAUUAUUAUUAUUAUUAUUAUUAUUACUCCAUUCAGCCACAUACAUACAGACACCCAUACCUCCCAUGUUUCCUUCAGCAGCCGCCAUUACCCCCUUACCCUCCUAACUCCUUCACAUCGGUAACACACACAAACCCACACAUACUGAGACAGAGAGAAAAGAAAGAAAAGAGAGAAAAGAGGGCUGAACGGAGAAGAAGGAAGGGAGGGGGACGACCACCGCCGACGCGUCUUGCCAUAGCCACCGCCACCGAGCUGCCGGACCGAGCUAAGAAGGAGAAGAGGCCGCUGUUGUCAUUGAGCUUGCUGUCGUCCAUAGCCGCCGCCGUUGUGCUCCAGCUCGUUGCCACCAUCGCAGACCGCCGCUGCCACCGCGCCACUCAUCGCCGUCGCAAGGAAGACCAGGACCGAGGGAGAGAGCCGCGCGAGGAGUCGCCGUCGCCGCCGUGAGAGAGAGAGAGAGACGCGCUGCACGGGAGUUGCCGUCGUGGGGUGUGUUGCCGUUGAGAAGCUGUCGCCGCCAGAUCCGCCGUUGUCAGAGCUUCUGUCCGAGUCCUGCCGCCGGAGAACACCUCUGCCGCCACUAAGAUCUGCCGCCGUCGCCGUUGCCGGAGUUCUGGUCGUCGCCGCCGUUCGAGGUGGCUGCCGGAGCUGCCGCCAAACCGGUUCAGCGACCACCGCUGUUUCAUUUUCUUAGUUCGGAUCGUGUUUUGAGCGUUGCAUGUCACUCUUAAGUUGCUGUGAGUGCUGCGAAAGUGAUCAGGGACUGAGUUUGUGGUUGCUGUUGGUUUCGGGUUAGAGAAAUGGUUUUGUUGACGCAUUUUGAGUUAUGGUUUCGACGAGUCAAGGUUUACCUUUUCAGGAACCGGGUGAAGAAGCAUUAAGAAGAGUUAUACUGCGUUUGGUUUAUGUAUUGUUGUAUUAAUUAGAUUAUUUUCUUUCCUCGUCUUUGUUAUUACAAAUUUGUAAGAGGGAUAGGAGUUGUAUGUUUUAUAUGUAUAUUAUAUUAUGAGUUAUUAUGUAAGGAGUUUUGUAUAUGAAUCUAUGCCUGCUUGUAUUUUUCUUAAGAUAAAAUAUUUAUUUCCGGUUCUUUUGAAGAAAUCAGCGAUACAGUGUUGAGUCACAGGCUCCUAUUUUAGUAUUUGGUAUGUAAAGUAGUCGUAAUACUUCUUGCUAUCAGAGUGGCGCAGCCGGAAACGUGAAUUCUGAUAGUGAGGGUGUUACAUUGAACAUUAUAACUUGGUUACAAUUAUGUCUUUAAUAGUUUAUUAGUAACUGGUCAACAACUACAAUUCUAUUAUACUUACAAAAAGAAACAACUAUACAGA